rnacentral:rRNA from 1 species
AACGAACGCUGGCGGCAGGCUUAACGCAUGCAAGUCGAGCGAUCGCAGCAAUGCGGGAGCGGCAGACGGGUGAGUAACGCGUGGGAACGUACCCUCCGGUUCGGAAUAACUCAGGGAAACUUGAGCUAAUACCGGAUACGGCUUAGCGGCGAAAGAUUUAUCGCCGGAGGAUCGGCCCGCGUUCGAUUAGCUAGUUGGUGAGGUAACGGCUCACCAAGGCGACGAUCGAUAGCUGGUCUGAGAGGAUGAUCAGCCACAUUGGGACUGAGACACGGCCCAAACUCCUACGGGAGGCAGCAGUGGGGAAUAUUGGACAAUGGGCGCAAGCCUGAUCCAGCCAUGCCGCGUGAGUGAUGACGGCCUUAGGGUUGUAAAGCUCUUUCGCUAGGGAC